AGUCAACGUUUUCAUUUUGCAAUACUUGAAUAGCAAAGAAAAGGCGCAUAACACCAUAAAGCACAUGCCCAGGAGAACAAUACAGGCCCAGGACAUAAACAACAGAACAAUAAUGUUGUCAAAACAGGCUUUUCUUAAUGUUUCGGCUAGCAAAUGGAAACCCAUAACAUUAAUCGCGCUUUAUGAAUGAAGUCUAUUCUUCAUGGAUAGUCAACGUAGAAAAAAUCAGAGCUGAACUUCUAAAGUACAAUACAU